UACGUAGGGUGCGAGCGUUGUCCGGAAUUAUUGGGCGUAAAGAGCUCGUAGGCGGUCUGUUACGUCUGCUGUGAAAACCCGGGGCUUAACCCUGGGCUUGCAGUGGAUACGGGCAGACUAGAGGCAGGUAGGGGAGAAUGGAAUUCCCGGUGUAGCGGUGAAAUGCGCAGAUAUCGGGAGGAACACCGGUGGCGAAGGCGGUUCUCUGGGUCUGACCUGACGCUGAGGAGCGAAAGCGUGGGGAGCGAACAGG
rnacentral:rRNA from 1 species